CUGUGAUUUCACAAUAGGCCAUUCUACUACCGACUAUGGCAGGGCAACGGUUAACCGCCAAUAAACAUUUCAUAAAAGUUUCAACGUGUUUAGGGUGGUCAUCUCAUCCGGAAAUGGGAGUUUCUCUGGUCAGGUAAGUUUGAAAUAAAAAUUGGAGGCAGGAGUUGUGAGUAGUGCCUUACUAGAAGUGAUACUGAACGCAUAAUACAUACCAGAGAAGAUGGGGAGCGAGACUUCACGGUCUAACACACACAUAGCCAACGGGACUGGGAGACGCGUGCAUAUCUUUUACAACACGGAUAAAAUGGUUCUCCAAGAAAUGCAAGUGGACAUCAGCAGCGAGGCUGAGAUCAGCAAGGCACUGCAAGGCGCGGCUGGAAGUGUGAAACUGGCCAGCAACACCAAACUGGUGUACUACAGGGACGAUCGCAUCCGAUCAUUUUACAUCCCGGCUCACGACUAUAACAAAGUGGCAGCCGAAGGCACCAUCUAUAUGACGGUUUAUUAUGAAGAUACUGGCGACAACUUAUGCCAGAACUAUCACAUUCCAUCUGACCGGUCAGUAAUUCUAACACCACCGGGCAACGUCAAGUUUCAGAAGUACGGUGCGAGUAUCUGGGAGGAUGAAUACGGAAACAUAUACAGCUGAAGCGUAGACCCAGACUGGUUUCCAAUUGCUGAGGAUGACUUCCGAUCAGUCUCUUUUCUUUACUUAACUUCAACCAAUUUACUGUGGUUUCUACAUAUUCUAAUUAGAAAUUAUAAUUCAUUGCGGUUUAGAGAUUUAUUGACUGCAACUUCACAUUCUUUACUAAUCAGUUGAUCAUUCCCGUGAUAUUUUUGUGAUUUAGUAUUUAAUCAGUAGUUAACCAAAAUCUUUAUUAAUUUGGGACAGUGCAGCGGAGCAAAUUCGUUUGCAGAAUGAACUUGGGCACAAAGUUGUCCUUUAGCAUAUUUUCUGUUUGGCAUGUGAUAGAAAACAUUUUCUUUGGAAGGUGAAGCAAAGUUCGUCUCUUUAUAUAAGUACUGCUAAUGAUAACAUCAGGAAGGACCCCGCUGAUGCGUUGUGCAGGCUGGAGCAUAAUAGUGUUAAGACUGUACUUUGUUUCCUUGCGAAUCCCUGAAAAUAAAUGUAAAGUCUGUCUAAAGAGACUCGUUGCCAGAAAACAACUAGUUCCAGGAAUUAUGAAUUUAAUCCAAAAUCACCACAUUUUAAAUGUUUCAGUUUAACAAUAAAGUUUAUAUACUUUGCCAAAUAAAAUGUUUUACCUCAAA